rnacentral:rRNA from 1 species
GACGAACGCUGGCGGCGUGCUUAACACAUGCAAGUCGAACGGAAAGGCCCUGCUUUUGUGGGGUGCUCGAGUGGCGAACGGGUGAGUAACACGUGAGUAACCUGCCCUUGACUUUGGGAUAACUUCAGGAAACUGGGGCUAAUACCGGAUAGGAGCUCCUGCUGCAUGGUGGGGGUUGGAAAGUUUCGGCGGUUGGGGAUGGACUCGCGGCUUAUCAGCUUGUUGGUGGGGUAGUGGCUUACCAAGGCUUUGACGGGUAGCCGGCCUGAGAGGGUGACCGGGCAAUAUGGGACCGAGAAGCGGCCCAGGCCCCCACGGGGGGCAGGCGGGGGGAAUUAUGCCAAAAGGGGGGGAGGCGGGAUGACGCAGCCCCGGGGGGGGAAGGAGGGCUUGGGGUUUGAAACCCUCUUCCGCCGGUAAGAAGGCUGGAGUGAGGUGAAGGGAAAAAGAAGCCCCGGCUAACUACGUG